rnacentral:rRNA from 1 species
GACGUAGGGCGCGAGCGUUGUCCGGAUUUAUUGGGCGUAAAGAGCUCGUAGGCGGUGUGUCACGUCGGCCGUGAAAACCUGGGGCUUAACUCUGGGCGUGCGGUCGAUACGGGCAUCACUAGAGUUCGGCAGGGGAGACUGGAAUUCCUGGUGUAGCGGUGAAAUGCGCAGAUAUCAGGAGGAACACCGGUGGCGAAGGCGGGUCUCUGGGCCGUAACUGACGCUGAGGAGCGAAAGCGUGGGGAGCGAACAGG